AUCACCUGAGGAUCUUGUUGAAGGGCAGAUUCUGACCGAGAGGGUGUGGGGUGGGACCUGAGACUCUGCAUUUUUAAUAAGCUCUCAGGUGAAGCUAA
rnacentral:pre_miRNA from 1 species